rnacentral:rRNA from 1 species
AGUGGCGGACGGGUGAGUAACGCGUGAGAAUCUGCCCUUUGGAUGGGGAUAACGACUGGAAACGGUCGCUAAUACCCAAUAUGCCGAGAGGUGAAACUUAUAUGGCCAGAGGAUGAGCUCGCGUCUGAUUAGCUAGUUGGAGUGGUAACGGCACACCAAGGCGACGAUCAGUAGCUGGUCUGAGAGGAUGAUCAGCCACACUGGGACUGAGACACGGCCCAGACUCCUACGGGAGGCAGCAGUGGGGAAUUUUCCGCAAUGGGCGAAAGCCUGACGGAGCAAGACCGCGUGAGGGAGGAAGGCCUACUGGUUGUAAACCUCUUUUGAUAGGGAAGAAGAAAGUGGCGGUACCUAUCGAAUCAGCAUCGGCUAACUCCGUGCCAGCAGCCGCGGUAAUACGGAGGAUGCAAGCGUUAUCCGGAAUUAUUGGGCGUAAAGCGUCCGUAGGUGGUUAUUCAAGUCAGCUGUCAAAGGAUGGAGCUUAACUCCAUAAAGGCAGUUGAAACUGUGUAGCUAGAGUGCGAUAGGGGCAAGGGGAAUUCCCAGUGUAGCGGUGAAAUGCGUAGAUAUUGGGAAGAACAUCGGUGGCGAAAGCGCCUUGCUGGGUCUGCACUGACACUGAGGGACGAAAGCUAGGGGAGCGAAAGGGAUUAGAUACCCCUGUAGUCUUAGCUGUAAACGAUGGAUACUAGGCGUUG